rnacentral:lncRNA from 1 species
AAUAGAAGAAGUAGAAGCAGAAACAGGGGCAGUUGCGCUUGCAGUAGCACGCAAAAUGGAAGUGAAUUCAAACGUGCGAGAGUCCGCGCGCACGAAAAUACAAAAGUGCAAAACGAAGAGAGCCCAAGACCGCAACCGGGCAGGCAGGAUACCUCUGAAGCAUCGAGAUUCGUAUGGGGAAAACUUCUAGCAGCUUGUCAAUGCGAUCUUUCUUAUUCCACGUUUCAAAGAAUAAAGACGGGUUCUUGGAAUUAGUGAAACCAAUGUUUUCAAUCGUGCACACAAAAUCGUUAGAUUUCGAAGUCCAAACUCGAAAAGGGAGAGAACGGCCAGUGGUAAUGAUGAUGAUGCGCCAAGAUCGUUUUAGUUAAUGAACCUUUAAUGAAAACCGAGUCUCGAGGCAAGCCGCACUUUUUGCAUUGAUCGAAGUCUCAAUAGAUACACGAGCUGGCGCAUAUAUACCUCUCCCACCCCUUUUUCUCCUACUCCUACUUCUUUUUCCCUCUCCCUCUAUCUCUCUCCCACCUUUUUGUUCCUACCUCUAUCUUUUUUCUUCUUCCUUUUUUAAUACAAGGAAAACAAAUAGAACGUUACCCUGGCUCUUUCGCGUGCGUGAAUACGCCCGCACUGGCAUUCAAUUUGCUGGAACGAGUACCGUCGGCACGGAAUGAGAAGCAGAGAAAGAUGGAAAGAGAAAGAGAGAGAGAGAAGGAGAAAGUGCAUGCACGUAUGGAAAGAGGGGGGACAGGGAGAAUCUUUCAGGAAAUUCCAUGCGCACGUUAUCGCGCCCGUCCUCGGCACGACUCUGCGUGCCCCUUAAAGGAUAAUAAACCGAUGGCACUUUCGCAAACUUAUAUAUACUAUUUCAAAGCGUUAACGUUAUUAUACGCGUUCCAUAGUAAAUUGUAUUACUAAAGUUUAGAAUAGUCUUUUUUGAAUGAGACGUAUUAAUGAUAGGACAUGUAUUGAUAUUUUUUUUCAUAAUAUUAUCGACUUACAGCGGGCUCAUUCCUAUUUUGUUAUUUUGCUUUAAAUAAAUUUUAGCAUUCAGUAUAUAACAACAAAUAUUUUUCAUUUUAGCACAAAAGUAAAGAAAAAAGGAAAAAAAAACUUUGUAAUAUUUUUUAAAGCACUGUUUUAUAAUUCGACUUUAAUUGGCACUGUAUUAUCCGUAUUUUCAUUGUAAAACUGAAUAAAUGACCGGAGACGAUGCUCAAGAUAA